GAUUUCCACCAACCAGUUUGGUAUUUCACCAGUAAGAUGGUUCUUUGAGAGAUCUAACAUUGACACGAUUGAUUGGUUUUUAAGGAAGGAAAUAUUCUGCAGAUUGCAUGAUGCUAACAUGAAGCUAUUUAGCUGGGGUAGCAAAGCAAGUUCUGAUUCACUUAUAGUUGUGUCAACUGAUAAAUUGUUGUGGGACAGAUCAAGAUCUACUAGUUUACUGAGGUUGGUGAACUUUUUCAACUGCACAGUACCGUUAAACUUGUUGAAUGAAAGUGAAAGAUCGUAAAGACCAUGC
rnacentral:misc_RNA from 1 species